UGUGGUUUAAUUCGAUGCAACGCGAAGAACCUUACCUGGUCUUGACAUCCACAGAACUUUCCAGAGAUGGAUUGGUGCCUUCGGGAACUGUGAGACAGGUGCUGCAUGGCUGUCGUCAGCUCGUGUUGUGAAAUGUUGGGUUAAGUCCCGCAACGAGCGCAACCCUUAUCCUUUGUUGCCAGCGGUCCGGCCGGGAACUCAAAGGAGACUGCCAGUGAUAAACUGGAGGAAGGUGGGGAUGACGUCAAGUCAUCAUGGCCCUUACGACCAGGGCUACACACGUGCUACAAUGGCGCAUACAAAGAGAAGCGACCUCGCGAGAGCAAGCGGACCUCAUAAAGUGCGUCGUAGUCCGGAUUGGAGUCUGCAACUCGACUCCAUGAAGUCGGAAUCGCUAGUAAUCGUGGAUCAGAAUGCCACGGUGAAUACGUUCCCGGGCCUUGUACACACCGCCCGUCACACCAUGGGAGUGGGUUGCAAAAGAAGUAGGUAGCUUAACCUUCGGGAGGGCGCUUACCACUUUGUGAUUCAUGACUGGGGUGAAGUCGUAACAAGGUAACCGUAGGGGAACCUGCGGUUGGAUCAC
rnacentral:rRNA from 1 species